AGAGUUUGAUCAUGGCUCAGGACGAACGCUGGCGGCGUGCUUCAUACAUGCAAGUCGAGCGUGAACCCAGGGCUUGCCCUGGGGGAAAGCGGCGAACGGGUGAGUAACACGUGGGCAACCAACCCCAGCCUCUGGGAUAACCUCGGGAAACCGGGGCUAAUACCGGAUACUCUCGAAGGGUCGCAUGGCCCAACGAGGAAAGCUCCGGCGGACUGGGACGGGCCCGCGGCCUAUCAGCUUGUUGGCGGGGUAAUGGCCCACCAAGGCAUCGACGGGUAGCUGGCGUGAGAGCGUGACCAGCCACACUGGGACUGAGACACGGCCCAGACUCCUACGGGAGGCAGCAGUAGGGAAUCUUGCGCAAUGGGCGAAAGCCUGACGCAGCGACGCCGCGUGGGGGAUGAAGGCUCUCGGGUCGUAAACCCCUUUCGGCAGGGAAGAAGCGAAAGUGACGGUACCUGCAGAAGAAGCCCCGGCCAACUACGUGCCAGCAGCCGCGGUAACACGUAGGGGGCGAGCGUUGUCCGGAUUCAUUGGGCGUAAAGAGCGCGUAGGCGGCUCGGAAAGUCGGGUGUGAAAACUCGGGGCUCAACCCCGGGCGUGCAUCCGAUACUGCCGGGCUUGAGGCAGGUAGGGGAGAUCGGAAUUCCUGGUGUAGCGGUGAAAUGCGCAGAUAUCAGGAGGAACACCGGUGGCGAAGGCGGAUCUCUGGGCCUGUCCUGACGCUGAGGCGCGAAAGCUAGGGGAGCGAACAGGAUUAGAUACCCUAGUAGUCC
rnacentral:rRNA from 1 species